UAGAGAAAGACAAGAACGACCUAAGCAGUAGAGGAAAUGACCGAUCUAAAGAGUACAAGAGACUGUGCAUCAGAAAUGCAGAAGGGGUGAUAAACCAGAAUAGGUGAAAGUAGACCUGUCUGAAGCCCAAGCGACAUAAGACAGACAAGUCGUCAGGGAAGGAGACAGUAAAGUCAGCCACCAACAAUGGGAACAAAAUAGAGCAACUGGUAAACAUGCAGAACAAAGUAAAUAUGGCUUGAAGGUCCUUGGCGGUACACCCACUGACUCCUGAUGUUCUGCCAUUGGUAAUCCAUUGCUUUCUCU